GCCAGCAUAGUGUAGUGGUUUGAGCAUUAGACUAUAGCUCUAGAGCCCAGGGUAAGAAUCCCUGCUUGGGGA